AUGCUGGAAAGAAAAGUCUCCAAGGAACUGGAGCCCAGACAAGGAGAACUUGAAAAUGCUGUUGGAAAAAAAAAUAUUCUUCAGACUUUUAAUGUCAUGGUGUUGGAUUCUUUGGCAAUAUCGUAUCCGAGGACGCUGCACUUGAGAGUAUCUUCUGGACUAAAAUGCAAGUCCCUUGAAUAAACCACUGGGUGAAACAAGGAGAAGCCGGCUCUGUCAGGACAUAAAAUAGAAGAAAGAAGCAAAAUUCAAAGAGACAACACAUAGCAUACGCUGACAGUAGUGUAAAAAUGUGUUAUUUACUUUGGUAACUUUAUUAUGUGAAUAAACAUUGCUUUGAUGAAUAAUAA